AGUCAACAUAGCUAAUAGAACUAAUGCGUUAACAAACCAGCCACAAUCAUGCAGUAACGUUACAGUAUAUAGUCAGUAAGCAGUUACACCGUCGGGCCCCGAUGGCAAUAAAUUAAUAAAACCAGCUUACUUUGACAUGGAUGGUGUUGGAUAGUCAUAGCCAGCUAGCUAACAUAGUAUCCCUCUGUUCGAGCCGGGUGUUUGAGUACCUAAACUGGCCAGCUGAAUUUGCUAGCUAAGUUGGAUCAGUCAUGGACAGAAACUUCUGAGACGCGGUAUCAAUGAUGAACACCCAGAGGUUCACUGGUAAACCACAUUUUACUCGGGAUCCAUCCCAGUUGGUAUUCUGUGUCCACUCGUGGUAUCUCUCUUCGGUUACACAUCCCUGGAAUAGCAGAACAGCAUAACGUCAGAAGAGGAAUGGAAAUGUCAGGGUAAACCGACGACCUGACGAACCCACCAAGAUUGUUGACUCUGCCUGUCGGAGGUGGAGUUCCAGAGCUCACAGGUGUGCCUGGCAUGGAUUGUGACUCCAUCUCGUUCUUCGCCCUCUUCAACGUGUCAUUCUCCGCCUGACUCUCCGCCAAUGCCGCCUGGCUCUGGACCAAUGCAUCAGCUGUCGCCUGUAUCUCUGCCCUCAGAGAAUGUUUCUCUUUCUGCUGGUCUGCCUUCAAUGACUCGAUCUCGCUCUUCAAAAUUGGAAUCUGAUCCAUGUGUACCUUCAUCAGAUGAGCAGAAUGGUACCGCCCUGAGCCCCCAUCGAUUACAGUGGCCUAUGAUAGAAACGGUAGAUCAGUGAAGAAUUCAAAGUGACUCCAACACACAAAUGCUGCAUACACAUUAAAAAUAAAUAAGACCUACACCACUUUUAGCUGCACAUUACUCAACGCUAGUGAGACUCAUGUCGCCUACGGCAGGCCUACAGUAUAUUUAAAAAUAUAUUUUUCAAUGACGUGACUCUUCGUCAAUAAUUACAUUUAGAGGAUUGGAGGAUUCUACAUGAAUAUCUAAGGGGCAUUUUAUCAAUUAGUAUAUUUGAGUUUAACCACAAUAUUGUUGUAUUAUUUGUUCUGUCUUUUCUGGUGGAUUAAACUGAAAUUGCAACCAACUUUCUAUGG
ensembl:lncRNA